UACGAAGGGGGCUAGCGUUGUUCGGAUUUACUGGGCGUAAAGCGCACGUAGGCGGAUUGUUAAGUCAGGGGUGAAAUCCUGGAGCUCAACUCCAGAACUGCCUUUGAUACUGGCAAUCUCGAGUCCGGAAGAGGUGAGUGGAACUCCUAGUGUAGAGGUGGAAUUCGUAGAUAUUAGGAAGAACACCAGUGGCGAAGGCGACUCACUGGCCCGAUACUGACGCUGAGGCGCGAAAGCGUGGGGAGCAAACAGG
rnacentral:rRNA from 1 species